rnacentral:lncRNA from 1 species
GGGGUUACCACUCCAUUAUCAUUCAUAAUAAAAAAUAUUUUACGUACAUCAUUAGCAGUUGUUAUUGCAGAUAACAGAUGGCGCUGUAAUUAAAAACAAUUUCGAGACAAUAAUGAAAUGAUUUUGUGUCAAAUAUAGCAAAUUACAAUCGAAUUCAACUUGUAUUUGUUGGAGACAGCGAAGCACACAGGCGAACGCCCAUACAGCUGUGAUGUGUGCCCGCAACGCUGCAUAUCCAGUUCAAACCUGCGCGCUCACAGGCGGAGACACCUUGGAUUUAAGGAGUACGAGUGUAAUAUUUGCAACAAGAAGUUCGGUUACAAAAUAAGUCUUGAAGAGCACGUUGCGUCCACCCACGAACGUUCGCAGUGUUACCCCUGCGAGCACUGUGGCGCCAUCUACACAAGAGUGAGAGGCUUACGGCGCCAUCUGUUGGCCAAGCACGUGAAACAAGAAGCGACAAUCAAUAAGGAUGAGAAAAAAGGCGCACAGCAAGACGUUUAUACAAAGAUGCCAACGGAAAAUGUUACAGACGUAGAUGGGAAGAAGGUCGAAAGUAGCAUGAAGGCGGGAAACUACGAGUUGAAGGAAAAGGAAGAAUAUGUGCUUAUUGCCAUGUAAUGUGAUAUUGUCAAAAAUAUAUUGAAUUAUGUUUAUUAAAAAGUUAAACAUA